CACGCUGGAUAUGCCAGUCGAAGGCUCAACCUUCUUUUAUCAGGGUAAGGACUGGAUUGAUUGCAUUACCUGUCGUGACAUAGCUACUGUGAAUGCUCUAAGUUCUUCACUUGUAAGCCAAUCAUUCUCUACAUCACACGAAACAUCAUCUUUUAAAGCAUUGCCAAAUUAAAGGAUGCAAGUUCUUACUGAAACCUUCAACUUGCGUAAAAUUGAUUUAUACCUCAUUACAGAUGCACAAAUUUAUCACAUGUAAGAUAAAAAAAAUAUUUUAGUUUAUUUUUGAGGCCAGGUGGUCUAUCUUUUGAUUGUUUUUCCAUAUAUCUGACUAAUUUUAGUGUAAUGCAAGGCGCAUUAUCCACAGGUACAUUAUUAGUUUAAGACUCUGCAGUCUGCAUGCAUAAUUGAUCACUGAAUUAAAAGAAAAAAAAAAAAAACUUCUGAGAAAAACUGUAUGUGAAUCUGAUUUUUAAAAAAUCGUCUGCGACCUUGUGUGCAUUGCCAGAUUUCGAAUAAUAAAAACCUUUAGUAAUUCGUAGUUUUGGCAUUGAUUUGAUAAUUUUAUUCAUAAAUAGUAAUAUUAAUGUAGGCAGAUAAUUUAUAUUCAUAAAUAUGUGGCGUAAUAGAUUUUCUUUGUUGCAAAGAAAAAUAAAGUAGGUUUUUAGUUGACCAUAAAAAGGUACGUUGCCACGUACUGUUUUCUAAAAAAUAUUUUCAUUUUGUUCGACAGUUUUCAUGACAGAUUCUCGUAGGUGUCAGCUCUGUGAAACUAGGUUUGUGGAAGUGAACCUCAAAUGGCACAAUGUCCUCGACAUAUAUUCCAUGGUCCACAAUAAUAUCGCAUGUGAAGUAUAAAGUCUUUAAUAAUAAGAGCUUUCGAACCUUGCACUAGGUUCAUCUUCAGUCAAGUAAACUUCUGAACAGGACCAUUCCACAAUGACGAACGCAAAUGAAGGAAGCACUCAACAGCCCAACUAGGAACUGCAACAGGAUGCACCUUCGUUGAGCUCUGACUGUGCAAGAAAUGGCAGGACUCUGAGUCCGUCGCAGAAGCAGAAGAAGAAGAGAGAGAAAAAGAAUUACACAAAGACACGGGUACCUGGUGAGGGUGGUCUGGCCAGCAUGCUACUAGGCAGAGAUGAAAGUCCAAACUGAUCCCUAUUUAUAUAUAUUCCUCAUAAACACCCUAGAGUAUCUCUGCUUUUAGUUAUGACAAACCCCGAAGCUGAUUUUCCUGUUCUGACCUGGACGGAAAUC